rnacentral:rRNA from 1 species
UACAGAGGUCUCAAGCGUUGUUCGGAUUCAUUGGGCGUAAAGGGUGUGUAGGUGGCGCUGUAAGUCAGGUGUGAAAUUUCGGAGCUUAACUCCGAAACUGCAUUCGAUACUGCGGUGCUUGAGGACUGGAGAGGAGACUGGAAUUCAUGGUGUAGCAGUGAAAUGCGUAGAGAUCAUGAGGAAGACCAGUGGCGAAGGCGGGUCUCUGGACAGUUCCUGACACUGAGACACGAAGGCCAGGGGAGCAAACGGG